AUCAAUAUGAGUCAACCAGAACAAAAUUUGAUCAAAUACAAAGAUAAGACUUGAACAAAUGCAAAACUCAUGACCAACUCUAUGAUUUGCUCUAUAUAUUUGUCACCACUCCUAUCCUUUGUCACACACUUCUAAUAGCGAAUUGUAGCUACUUCAAGCUAUAACUGAUCUCUGAUUUCCAAUCAUGCCUAUCGUGAAGCAAAUUCUUAACUAAACAACUUAGCAAAGCAUGCAUUCUCAUAGCCUUACAUGCCUUUCUAUUUACUCCCUUUAUGUUUUUCAACUUAAUAUUUAAACCAUAUACAUAACACUCUAGUAUAAUAGUUAAGCAGUGCAGUACCCAAAGCUUACACAGUGUUCCCACCAAAAACACCCAAUUCUAAAGUUUCGGAGGUAACUCCACAAUGAAUAGUGUUCUCUUUAUUAGGAUGAAAAUGCAAUCCCUAAAUCCUACGCGUUGACUUAUGCAUAAAGAUCCUCCAAAAAAUUGUCCACCACCAGAGUUAUCAACCCAAAAAAACAAUUGCCGUCUUUUUCUCAGGGCUGGUCGUGAAGGUAACGUCCCAGUGGACGAGGUAGCUACAAUGUUCCCUCUAAAAGAAGUGCAGAGAUGACGGCUUCAUUGGUCUAAGGUCUUGGCAAAACUGAAUUCCAGAUACAAGUAGCAUAUCUUCCCGUCCAUGUGAAAGGAUAUGCGGUUACUAAAGGAAUGGAUUUGGGACAUUCCACUUUGGCGCUCACCGGAACUCUUUAAAUAUCCCAGGUUUUCCCGCUCAUUCCAUUCAUUGAUCGGGAAACAACUCUAUAUAAAUAUUAGAAUGGUACAGGUUACAUGAGAAAUAUAAAUCUAUUGUUAAUUAUACUGGUAGAACUUUUGGUUGAAGCAGAUUUAGGGUGCAAAGAAUGGCUGCAAAAAUAGACUUGAUCAGAAGCAUCAAUCCAACCAAGCUGGCUUGGUCGUUGGUCAUGGGGUUGCCCGAUUGUAUGAGUUUCCCAGCCAGUGGAACCAGAAUGAAGUGUUUAGCUUGGAGAUGGUUUUGCAAGAUGAGGUGAUAGAAUUCAUGCAACGAUAUAUAAGCCUGACUUGGAUUUAUUCAAGGAGAGGAUAAAAAAGCAUGCCAUGUAUAGUAUGCUGGAAUUUUAUUGUGAAAAUUAACAAUGGGAAGGUAAGGACAACUGCUCAUAAGUACAAGCUUAGCUUCUAUACAAAGACAGAGGUGGAAGUCCUUCCAAUCGAGACUUUCGCUUUUAACCCAUUCAAAUUUCGCCCCUUUGCUGAGCUUGAGGCAAAUGCUCUAAUGGAUGGGAAUUUGUUGUUUGAUUACAUAGGAGAGGUUGUUGGAAAGGAAGAGGCUAUGGGGAUGAUUACAUGCACGGGUAAAGAAAGCAAGUGUAUUGCACUAGAGUUGGAAGACCUAAAAUAAUAUUUACUUUUUUCUCUCUCCUUUCAGUUGUACAUUUUGUUUGUGUUUUGCAGUCAUUUAAUUCAAGCAUAUGCUGGAUAUUAAGUGUCGAAAAAUAUUGUUAGAGUUGUAUUAUGCCUUUUGUUCCAGGAAGCACAAGAUUAAAUGUACAUUGUUUGGAGAAUUGGUGGACCAAGUGCUUCCACACCUCGAGCGAGAUGAUGGGGAGCCUUUCAUAAUGGUUGUUCAGCUCUUUAAGUCAAAUGUAUACUUAAGUUCUGUGAAUGUUCAAAGCACUUACUAUGUCUCCAAAUGUUACUUCAAUCCAAACCUUCCCAAAGUUAUUGACUUCAA